AUAAAAAUAAAAAAUCGAGUACAAUACCAGUGAAAUUCUUGUCCCUGGACAUGUUCAGGCAGAAGCUGAAUGAUUGACUUACUUGUUGGAAAAGAAGGAAUGUAAAUUACUGAACUAGAUCAUGACUGACCUCUCAGGUUCCUUACAAUGUUGUAAUUGUACAAUGCUCAAUCCAUUUAUCCUACAAAAUAAGUUCAGUACAAGAACAGGCUCUACAACCUACACAAGAGGCUCAAUUUCCUAUGAUGUUUUCUCCGAAAGACAAAAAAUUGCAGCCAAAGAUAAAAUAAGAGGAAAACAUUUAUUUUUGCCAGAACUUCAAGAUGCCCAGUGGAGAUGGCAAACCGAGAUAUAAAAUCAUUUCCUGCUGCCUUCAGUUGACAACCCUAUUUACAUCGCUUCUGAGAAGCUCAAGCUCAAAAAGACUGUUACGGAGACUUAGAAAUUAUGGUAAUUUGGAUUUGGCUCUAAGUUGAGUACAUUUACCAUUGCUCCAUUAGAAAUAAAAUGGUGCAGCCCAGCAAAAGAAACUACCAUCAGAGUGAACAGGCAACCUACAG
rnacentral:lncRNA from 10 species